AGGGAUGUAGUUAAAAAUAACAUUUGAUUUGCAUUCAAAAGGUAUUGAUAAGUCAAUCUUCCUUG
rnacentral:tRNA from 1 species